GCGGGAGCGGGAGCGCGCCCGGGCGGCUCCGUGAGAGAAAAAAAAGAGAAGCGGAGCUCUCGGUGUGACAGCUCAGAGCUGUCCACGUCAACACACCGAGAGAGAGAGAGAGAGAGAGAGAGAGAGAGAGAGAGACCGGCGGCCGCGAUGGACUCCACGUCUCCGGAACCUUCACUCUACACAGUGAAAGCUGUUUUUAUCCUGGACAAUGACGGGAACAGACUUCUGUCAAAGUACUACGACCGAGAGCUCUACCCGUCCAUGAAGGAGCAGAAGAACUUUGAGAGGAACGUUUUCAACAAGACGCACAAAGCAGACAAUGAGAUAGCGUUCGUGGAGGGGAUGACCAUCGUCUACAAGAGCAGCAUCGAUCUCUUCUUCUACGUGGUGGGAAGUUCUCAGGAGAACGAGUUGAUGCUGAUGUCCGUCCUGAACUGCAUCUUUGAGUCGCUCAGUCAGAUCCUCAAGAAAAACGUGGAGCGGAGGUGUUUACUGGACAACAUGGAGGGAGUGUUUCUGGUUGUGGAUGAAAUCAUUGACGGAGGGGUGAUUCUGGAGAGCGACCCCCAGCAGGUCCUACAGAAGGUCAACUACAGGCUAAUGUCAGAGCAAGCCUAUGGCUUCGUCCUGUUUGAUUACAUCACCGGUAACCUAGAGGGACAAACAGACAAGAACCAGCUGCUGUAGACAGACAGACAGAGGGCGGAUGAAAACCCGUUAUCUGAACAGAGCGUGGCCCAGGUUCUGCAGUCGGCUAAGGAGCAGAUCAAAUGGUCCAUCCUGAAAUGACCCGGAACACAAACAUGUUUUUUUUAUAGAAAGAGUCAUCACGGGCGGGUUUGUAGAGCUUAUAACGAGGCGGUAACGGGGUUGAAUCUGUGUGAGGUGGCGUUUGUAAUUUAUUUAGAGAGCGUCAUUACUCCCCGAGUGAAGAAAGAGACACGCUCAGCGCAGAGGGUUAGUGGUUAGAGAGCCGAACUAAAGGAGUCUGAUUAGUGAUCGAUGUUUUAGGUGGAGCAGGAUCUUCUCCUCGCAUUAUCUCAUAAAGCAGAAAAAAAAACACGCGCUUCAUUUGUUGUUUUUCAAUUAAUCUCAAUUAAUCAAAAUUUCACAUUUAAAAAUAAAACUUGUGAGGAUUUUA